rnacentral:rRNA from 1 species
UACGUAGGGGGCUAGCGUUGUCCGGAAUCAUUGGGCGUAAAGAGCGUGUAGGCGGUCCGGUAAGUCCGCCGUGAAAGUCGGGGGCUCAACCCUCGAAUGCCGGUGGAUACUGUCGGGCUAGAGUGCGGAAGAGGCGAGUGGAAUUCCUGGUGUAGCGGUGAAAUGCGCAGAUAUCAGGAGGAACACCAGUGGCGAAGGCGACUACCUGGGCUGUUUCUUGACGCUGAGGCGCGAAAGCUAGGGGAGCAAACGGG